AUUGAACGCUGGCGGCAGGCCUAACACAUGCAAGUCGAGCGGAUGAAGGGAGCUUGCUCCUGGAUUCAGCGGCGGACGGGUGAGUAAUGCCUAGGAAUCUGCCUGGUAGUGGGGGAUAACGUCCGGAGACGGGCGCUAAUACCGCAUACGUCCUGAGGGAGAAAGUGGGGGAUCUUCGGACCUCACGCUAUCAGAUGAGCCUAGGUCGGAUUAGCUAGUUGGUGGGGUAAAGGCCUACCAAGGCGACGAUCCGUAACUGGUCUGAGAGGAUGAUCAGUCACACUGGAACUGAGACACGGUCCAGACUCCUACGGGAGGCAGCAGUGGGGAAUAUUGGACAAUGGGCGAAAGCCUGAUCCAGCCAUGCCGCGUGUGUGAAGAAGGUCUUCGGAUUGUAAAGCACUUUAAGUUGGGAGGAAGGGCAGUAAGUUAAUACCUUGCUGUUUUGACGUUACCAACAGAAUAAGCACCGGCUAACUUCGU
rnacentral:rRNA from 1 species